AUUCUUCGGAUGAAGAGGUUUGUGACUGAGUGGCGGACGGGUGAGUAACGCGUGGGUAACCUGCCUCAUACAGGGGGAUAACAGUUAGAAAUGACUGCUAAUACCGCAUAAGACCACGGAGCCGCAUGGCUCAGUGGGAAAAACUCCGGUGGUAUGAGAUGGACCCGCGUCUGAUUAGGUAGUUGGUGGGGUAACGGCCUACCAAGCCGACGAUCAGUAGCCGACCUGAGAGGGUGACCGGCCACAUUGGGACUGAGACACGGCCCAAACUCCUACGGGAGGCAGCAGUGGGGAAUAUUGCACAAUGGGGGAAACCCUGAUGCAGCGACGCCGCGUGAGCGAAGAAGUAUUUCGGUAUGUAAAGCUCUAUCAGCAGGGAAGAAAAUGACGGUACCUGACUAAGAAGCACCGGCUAAAUACGUGCCAGCAGCCGCGGUAAUACGUAUGGUGCAAGCGUUAUCCGGAUUUACUGGGUGUAAAGGGAGCGUAGACGGCUGUGUAAGUCUGAAGUGAAAGCCCGGGGCUCAACCCCGGGACUGCUUUGGAAACUAUGCAGCUAGAGUGUCGGAGAGGUAAGUGGAAUUCCCAGUGUAGCGGUGAAAUGCGUAGAUAUUGGGAGGAACACCAGUGGCGAAGGCGGCUUACUGGACGAUGAC
rnacentral:rRNA from 1 species